UGGACUACACAGAAGGAGCACAUCCCUGCAAGGUCUAACCCUGUUUCUUCGCGAGGAUUCAGAGAACUUCUUCAGGACAUGCUUGCCAUGUGCCACUGCUGUGGACAUUAAUACUGCAGAACUCCCCAGCACCCCCUGCUUGAUCAUUCAAGGUGACAUGAUGAAGCCCUCUGGAAGGCUUACAUGUAAUGAUGGGCCCACACCCUUUAUUGUUACACGGAGUAGCUGCUUUCUUCAGCAGCUAUUACGUCUUCAACCUCGAGUGUUCUGCCACUGGAUCGUCGACGCUGGAGUUCAUUCAAAGCCCAACAGGCCAUCUGGGGACUUUGAACUGCAAAACAUCCCACCAGGAUAAACGGUGUUAAAACUCCUAUCAACAUCCUGACAUUCUGGGUACCCUGGGUAUGGACAGCCAAAGAGAGGUUCAAUGGGCCCUGUGAUCAUGUCUGAAUUAAGAUAAGUGACGCAAGGAGAGUGAGUCAGAGCGACACUGUUCCUCUGUGGGUGCACAAACGAGGAGGUUGUCCACGCACUGAAUGAGAGCAGAGCCCUUUGUUAGAAAGAACACAUGACUUGAAAGAGUGCUCUAAUCUUACAGAGAUUUUUUUUUUCCUAAGUUUAUAAACUAUCUUUCCAGGCUAUGUGAGAACUAGUGGAAUGCCAAAUUCUUCCCAUCUUUUCGAACUUUGCUUUGAACUACAUGACUGUGAAUUAUACCAUGGAGCUACCCUCCUCCGAUUUAUCACCAUUUUCAGAGGAGCAAUUCCAUUUAAAGUUGUACUGAGUGAUGCUGUCGUACUAUCAACAAAAUAAUGUUUUUGUGUUGGAGUUAGAUUGUGGUUGCUGGCAUCCACAUCUCUGACAUAAGGCACUGAGGUAAAUACAUGAAGGAAUUAUUCCUUAUAUCUAGUUAGGAAAGUCUUUCUCAUUUCAGUGUAAUCCCAUAUUGUGAAUUCAAAUGUAACAAGGAAAUUAUCAGACAAAGGAGAGUUAU